UAAGCUUGAAUGCUGGUGUCCAUGGA
rnacentral:piRNA from 2 species